GUUCAUGGGUCUCCUAAGAAAAUAUUCCCUAGAGGCACACUUCCCUGAAGAAUAAUUUACCUUGGAGAUAUGUGCAGUGAUGUAUUUUUCAUCCUUGCCAACAGCAGACAGAGUCUAGUUAUACCAACCGCUCAAAUUAUUUUAUAGAGAAAAUAUAGGUGAUUGUUAGUAGAAUAUAUAGAGGACAGUUGCAUAGUGUGUACAACAUCCAAAUCUUGAUAAACUCAACUUACUUCCUUAAUGCUACUGAAAAAAAAAAUAUAAGGUAUUUCAGUACCAACACUCUGUCCUUAGACAUCCUUAAUUAUUUGAAUACUUUAACGCUGAGGCCUUCUCAUUCUUAUCUUUUUAGGUGAAAAAUUCUCUGAGAGCCUGAAGAAAAAACUGCAACCUUUGACCAUCUUACUUGUUUGAUAUUAUGGCCCUUUCCAUGGCAACAGAUUGUGAUGUCAUGCAUGGACAGAUUAUGAGGUCAAAAAUUGCCCAGGAUGGAGCCAGGGGAGGAUGUAGGAAAGAUUCUGGAACUACGUAAAUAUAUUUCAAAGUAUUCAAAAGAAGUGGAAAACACACUUACAUUAAAGGUAUCAAAAGCAUCAAACCACAAGGAAGGUGCUUAUCAUAAACUCAGAUUACAAAUGGCAAAAUCAAGGCACAGGAUAUUUUUUCUGCUUUGCACAGGAAAAAAUGCUUUCAACAAUUUGAAAAUAAUCUUCCACGUGUAUAGCAAACCAAGACUCUGUUCUACCCAUUUACAGAAGGAGAUAUUAAUACAAAUGAAGAGUGAAUCUGAAUGAAGAGACCUUGCAAUGAGGCCAUCUCAAGGCUAUCAAGACCACAAUGCAGUUUCUCAAAUUCCCUGAAGCAGAAAUGCUGCCUACUUCUCUGCAUUUUUCCUUUGUGUAAGGGUCUUAUGCCUGUCACUUGCUAAGGUGAAGAAGAGUCUGUGAACUACUAACAUCAGAUUCCACCUCUGACCUUUUUUCCAGGGUUUUCUUGUCUCCAAAUCUACCACUGUGGCAGAAAGUCCUAAUGCUACUCCCAAUCAUCUUCAUGUACACCAUACUCUCUUGGAAAUUUGAUUCACAGAAAUGAUAAGAUACGCUGGUGUCUUUACCAGGAGGAUCUUCCAACAGAGCAACAUAGAUGAAUAGAGCCAGCAUGGGGGACAGUACUGACAAAGCACUUACUUUGUCUCCAUAUUGGAUGCUGAGGCAUCUAGUAUUUCUAAUUUAGCAUUUUUGCCAGGAACUUUGAAUCCAAACUCCACUUUCAACAUAUACAUGUAAAUAAUUGUCAGGUUAUAUUCAUGAAAACAAGACCAAAACUUAGACCACAGAUUUUCCAGGGAAAAAUGAGUGCUGCAUUUCUGGCAAUUAGGAGCAGUAAAGUAAACAUUUAGUCACCAUUGACUCAUGAGCCGAAAAACACAGUAGUCAAUUACAG
rnacentral:lncRNA from 1 species